rnacentral:rRNA from 1 species
GCUUAGGAAUCUACCAAGUAGUGGGGGAUAGCCAUUGGAAACGAUGAUUAAUACCGCAUAUAUCCUACGGGGGAAAGCAGGGGAUCUUCGGACCUCUCGCUCAUUGAUUAGCCCAAGUGAGAUUAGCUAGUUGGUAAGGUAAUGGCUUACCAAGGCGACGAUCUCUAGCUGGUUUGAGAGGAUGAUCAGCCACACUGGGACUGAGACACGGCCCAGACUCCUACGGGAGGCAGCAGUGGGGAAUAUUGCACAAUGGGGGAAACCCUGAUGCAGCCAUGCCGCGUGUGUGAAGAAGGCCUU